CUUAUGUUAAUUGCAAACCUUCAUCAUCGCCGAACCACGACUUGUAAACCUUUAUUUCUGUCCAUCAUAUUACCAAGCUAUCUUAAUCAACAGUCUGUGCACAACAAUGACAUGGCAAUUUUAUACAUAAACUAAACCUUGUCAACCGCAAAUCUUUCAUAACACCAAAUAAUUCAAUAAUAAUAGCAUACCAAUGUUCAACAUAAACCGAACAUUCAUAA
rnacentral:lncRNA from 1 species